UUCGGACUCAGCAAGCAGAGACACUUUGGGGAAUUACUGACCUCGUUCUUUCCAGUCGCUGCAUCAAUGACCGCUUCCAAGGAGCCGCAGCAGGGGAGCGAACGCACUGCGCAUGCUCGCGUUUCUCCGGACAACAGGCCCCCGCCGGACAGAUGAAGCAGCGACUGGUUGAACGCCCAAGUUGGUACGUCUUUCAUUGAUUCUAUUGUGGUUAUUAUUCUGUUGUGCACUUAUUGAGAAUGCUGACAGGAACAUGAGUCUCGGGGUUGUACAUGGUGACAUAGAGGCA